rnacentral:rRNA from 1 species
GUGCCAGCAGCCGCGGUAAUACGUAGGGGGCAAGCGUUGUCCGGAUUCAUUGGGCGUAAAGAGCUCGUAGGCGGUUCAGUAAGUCGGGUGUGAAAGCUCCGAGCUCAACUCGGAGAGGCCACCCGAUACUGCUGUGACUUGAGUCCAGUAGAGGAGCGUGGAACUCCUGGUGUAGCGGUGGAAUGCGCAGAUAUCAGGAAGAACACCUGCAGCGAAGGCGGCGCUCUGGGCUGGAACUGACGCUGAGGAGCGAAAGCGUGGGUAGCAAACAGGAUUAGAUACCCUGGUAGUCC